GACGUAGGGCGCGAGCGUUGUCCGGAUUUAUUGGGCGUAAAGAGCUCGUAGGCGGCUUGUCGCGUCGAAUGUGAAAUCUCAGGGCUCAACUCUGACAUUGCAUUCGAUACGGGCAGGCUAGAGUUCGGUAGGGGAGACUGGAAUUCCUGGUGUAGCGGUGAAAUGCGCAGAUAUCAGGAGGAACACCGAUGGCGAAGGCAGGUCUCUGGGCCGAUACUGACGCUGAGGAGCGAAAGCGUGGGGAGCGAACAGGAUUAGAUACCCUGGUAGUCCACGCUGUAAACGUUGGGCGCUAGGUGUGGGGACCCUCUCCGGGUUUCUGCGCCGCAGCUAACGCAUUAAGCGCCCCGCCUGGGGAGUACGGCCGCAAGGCUAAA
rnacentral:rRNA from 1 species